rnacentral:rRNA from 1 species
GAUGAACGCUGGCGGCGUGCUUAACACAUGCAAGUCGAACGGUGAACGAGGGAGCUUGCUCCCUCCGGAUCAGUGGCGAACGGGUGAGUAACACGUGAGCAAUCUGCCCUGGACUCUGGGAUAAGCGUUGGAAACGACGUCUAAUACCGGAUACGAGGCGUGGGGGCAUCCCCAACGCCUGGAAAGAACUUCGGUCCAGGAUGAGCUCGCGGCCUAUCAGGUAGUUGGUGAGGUAACGGCUCACCAAGCCUACGACGGGUAGCCGGCCUGAGAGGGUGACCGGCCACACUGGGACUGAGACACGGCCCAGACUCCUACGGGAGGCAGCAGUGGGGAAUAUUGCACAAUGGGCGCAAGCCUAAUGCAGCAACGCCGCGUGCGGGAUGACGGCCUUCGGGUUGUAAACCGCUUUUAGUAAGGAAGAAGGGGAGCUUGCUCCUUGACGGUACUUGCAGAAAAAGGACCGGCUAACUACGUGCCAGCCGCCGCCGUAAAAC